GAUAAAGAGAACAGGAUAGGAAAUCAUCCUUAAUACACAAAAGGAGAAGUAAUAUUUUAAUGAAAAUAUAAAGCUCAUCACUGCUUUACAAUGGAGGGUUACUGUCAGUGACCUAGAAUAGAAAGCUUUAUACGCCGAACGUGAAACCUCCUGUUUAAUCUACUCUAUUUGACGUUGGCAUAUUAAGAAUUGUGGGCUGGAUUCUGCUCUAUUCCAUAAACCGGUACUUUUUGGUGCCAAAAUAAUUUUCAUACGGUCAGGGAGUUGCCUUUCAAGUUCGUGCAUCUAGAAGUAUCGUGGAUUUCUGAACGCUUGGUGUUGAGAAAACUGCAAACUAAGUCGGAUACAGCAUUGACCUAGAAAGCAGGGAGACCCUGCAGUAUAUUCGCUGGUAAUUCAACCUCUGCCUCUUGCUUGAGUGAACUCUGUGAGAGACCACAUCUGGGCUUUUUCAGCUCGGGGCACAGUUGUGCAGAAAACAGAUAUUUUUUUUUGCCUAGUUGCUCCUGUAAUUGGCACCACAUGGCUUCAGGAGCACAGGUAGCACGCGGGUGUGGGUUGCGUUGGGGGCACCUUGCUGAGCAUUGCACUGACACGGGCCAAUAUCCGUCUUUUACUGAUAACCGGGGUGGGCUUCUUGGGCGUGGAUGUUACUGGCCUUGCAAUACUUGUAUCUCCCACUGAGUGGUAUGAGGAAUGCUCAUGGGCUUGCCGGCCAGCCGGGCGUUGUAGCCGUGGAGAGAAGACUGUAGCCUGCUUGUCUGCUGUCUUCUACCAGAAGGGAAAGGCAGCUAGGUGAGGAAGUUUCAUUAAUGAGAACAGAAGUCCUCUUGAGGCCGCUUUAGUAGCAGCUUUUGGUGGAUUGGGGUGUGGAAAUGUUAGAUUUAGCAGAUAAUCAGCCUGCAUUUUUAUCUCUACUUUAAAAUAGCAGAGUAGAAGAUUAUCUCAUCUCCAUGAACUGCUAUUUUUCACUUAGUAAAUUAUUUUACCACCCAAAGCGGGUGCCGCACAAAGAGUUGUGGUUGGGAGGCAUGUAGUUAUUUAUCUCGGUCAAAAUGUCUCAGUUAAAAAGCUAUCAGUAGGACAUAAUAAUAAUAAAUAUGUAUGGCAUUUGGCUAGGCGAAUACAAGAUUAUACUAAAUAGAACACAUUUCUGAAAAGAAUAAUUGUAACUAAUUAGAAAUCUCCAGUUAUGCUUAGAGUUGUAAGAACGUGAAAUCAAAUUUAAUUAUGCAAGGUCCCAGUUGUGCCAAAGGUGUUAUAAAGAAUAUCUUUAUGGAGACAUUCAGUAUAAGAAACUGGCUGGUGCUAUUAUUAGCAUGCUCAUUUGCACAUUUUCCUUAUAUUAGUUUAAAAUUUAAUGAUGGUGUUUGUAGGGCUAAUUACCAAGAAUCUGCACAGCACUCAUUGGGAUAGUCACCCAACAGGCAUCUAUUUUUGCAACAGUAAGUUAUCGAUAACUUCAAAGCAGCUUUGACUAAAUUCUUUAUAUUAAGUAUAUGUACAAACAGGUCGUUAAGAGCGGAAAUACCUACGAUCACGCCCACGGUUCCCUUGGAAGCAUAAACAAUGAGCGUUGUUCCUUCGUUCCUGCAUGCUAGCCUGAAUUCUGGCCAGCGUCAGGAUUUACUACGGGGAGUUCAGCACUGUGCUGAACCUACCUUGAAGAU